GAAAAAUUAAAUAGGAUUAUUGAGUAGAUGAUUAGGAUAUGAGAAAGAUUUUUCGUCUUCUUGUGGAAUUAAUUAAUCAGAAAAACAAUCUCUUUCUGAAAUAAUUAAUAGGGAUGAUCAAUAAUUUAAAGGGAAGCUUGUUCUACCUAAUAUUGACCUGGACUUGACCUGUUGUGGGUAUGGGUUAGGACUUGCUUGUUUGUGUCGGCAUCACCUUUGAAAUCAUCACUUUCUUUGAGGUUCAAAAUGAUGUGACCAAUAGUCACCAUUUCAUUCUCAAA
rnacentral:misc_RNA from 1 species